GCUUACAACCAUUGCUGAACUAAUAUUACUCGAUUAGUUGAACCUAACGGAUGUGUUCUGCAAAGUACACAAUUAAGAAAACCUUGAGCACUGUUGGUGACUACAAUACCGUGGGCCGUGGGAAUUCUUUGUAUGUACUAUGUACCACCCACCAUUAGUCCAAUCGACUGGUCUAUUACACAGUCGUUAGGCCCGUCCCGUUGCAUUCACUAUCACUAAUGAAGAUAUUAAACAAAAUUGCAACUGCUAUUUGAAACCAUACAGUAGUUUGAAAUCUGAACUCAAAUAUUUACAGUGUGAGGUUUGUUUUCCUUCAGUCGUGAUUCCCCGUUACGUAGUAGAUUCCGCGUAUAGCUCAGUCAUAUUUCAUAGAAUCUUGUAACAGGUCCAAAGACCGUGAAUGGGUCGUUCUAAUUGACCACCAAACUACACUUUUUGGGGUAUUUCACACUGCCUUUACGGGAAUUACACGCUUUGUGAUAUGAUAAUUGGACUUCCAUAAAAGAUACACAAUAAUAUGCGAAGGUUAACAUUAUCAUAGUUGAGAUGAAUAAUAAUAUCGCCAUAAAGUUGUAUUACCUGUUGGCUCUACAAUGUAUAAUGGCACUAUCAACUCUAAUGACACAUCUACUUUUAACUUUAAACCAACUAAGCAAUGUGGCCCUGUAUAAACUUUGCUGUUUACGAAGGCCCACAGUGCCCACUACUGUAUUAAAGAAACCCCGGAAGAGGGUAAAAUUACGUCAUAAAUUAUCGACAAAAACAUUUAUUUUUAUUAAAAAAUAUAUGAACUGAUAAACUUUCUAUGGACUACAAAAAAUCGACUGCAAAAAGUAUUGGUUCUAUUUCUAUAAAAUAAAAACAAUACCAAGCUUUGUGUUGACGAUAUAUUAACAAAUAACUCACAUACUAGUGGAUAUUCAUUUCUUAAAAAAUGUUUUAUACAAGAAAAAAAAAAGGUUUUGUCUGCACUCCAUACAAAACAUUGUGGUUUGGCCGAUUGAGUGAUUUUCCACCACAGACUGACGUUAUCAGCACGGAUGCCCAUUACGCGUGUUUUACUCUUUUUAUUUAUUUUCAGACAUCUAGAAACGAUGACAGCCGGCAUCUUAUCUUAAACGAUCAUCACCUUGACAGUGAUACUUAAUAUUACAACUUCUGUGGAAAUUAAAAUAUAAAUAUAAAGAUUAGAUAUGUAUGGGUUUCUAC